rnacentral:rRNA from 1 species
AGGGCAUUUGGUGGAUGCCUUGGCAUUGAGAGGCGACGAAGGACGUGACAGGCUGCGAUAAGCCUUGGGGAGCUGCCAGUAAGCUUUGAUCCGAGGAUUUCCGAAUGGGGCAACCCACCGCUUUGGCGGUAUCGCAUGAUGAAUUAAUAGUCAUGCGAGGCGAACCCGGCGAACUGAAACAUCUCAGUAGCCGGAGGAAAGGACAUCAACCGAGACUCCGUUAGUAGUGGCGAGCGAACGCGGACCAGGCCAGUGGCUUUGGAAAAUCAACCGGAACGGUCUGGAAAGGCCGGCCAUAGCGGGUGAUAGCCCCGUACGGGUAGAGUUUUUCCGAAGUCCUUGAGUAGGGCGGGGCACGUGAAAUCCUGUCUGAACGUGGGGGGACCACCCUCCAAGCCUAAGUACUCCUCAAUGACCGAUAGUGAACAAGUACCGUGAGGGAAAGGUGAAAAGCACCCCGAUAAGGGGAGUGAAAAAGAUCCUGAAACCGAAUGCCUACAAGCAGUGGGAGCUGGUUUGCCUUCUGGCUAACCGGUGACCGCGUACCUUUUGUAUAAUGGGUCAGCGACUUAGUGUUGCGAGCGAGCUUAAGCCGUUAGGCGUAUGCGCAGCGAAAGCGAGUCUUAAUAGGGCGUUUAGUUCGUGGCAUUAGACCCGAAACCGGGUGAUCUAGCCAUGGGCAGGUUGAAGGUGCGGUAACACGCACUGGAGGACCGAACCCACUUAUGUUGAAAAAUGAGGGGAUGACCUGUGGCUAGGGGUGAAAGGCCAAUCAAACCCGGAGAUAGCUGGUUCUCCGCGAAAACUAUUUAGGUAGUGCGUUGUGUAUUACCAUCGGGGGUAGAGCACUGGAUGGGCUAGGGGGGCGCGAGCCUUACCAAACCUAACCAAACUCCGAAUACCGAUGAGUAUAAUCACGGCAGACAGACGGCGGGUGCUAAGGUCCGUCGUCGAAAGGGAAACAGCCCAGACCGCCAGCUAAGGUCCCUAAAUUAUGGCUAAGUGGGUAAGGAUGUGGGAAGGCCAAAACAACCAGGAGGUUGGCUUAGAAGCAGCCAUCCUUUAAAGAAAGCGUAAAAGCUCACUGGUCUAAUAGCCGUCCUGCGCCGACGAUGUACCGGGGCUCAAGCCAUAUACCGAAGCUGCGGAUGCGAUGCCUUUUGGUGUCGCAUGGUAGCGGAGCGUUCCGUAAGCCUGUGAAGAUAGCUCGUGAGGGCUAUUGGAGGUAUCGGAAGUGAGAAUGCUGACAUGAGUAGCGAGAUGAGGGUGAGAAACCCUCACGCCGAAAAUCCAAGGGUUCCUGCGCAAGGCUAAUCCGCGCAGGGUGAGCCGGCCCCUAAGGCGAGGGCGAAAGCCGUAGUCGAUGGGAACCAGGUUAAUAUUCCUGGGCCAGGUGGGAUGUGACGAAUGAUGUAAGUUGUUUCCUCUUAUUGGAUUGAGGGAGCAGCGAAGUUGUUCCAGGAAAUAGCCCCACCAUAGACCGUACCCUAAACCGACACAGGUGGAUUGGUAGAGUAUACCCAGGCGCUUGAGAGAACGAUGUUGAAGGAACUCGGCAAAAUGCCUCCGUAACUUCGGGAGAAGGAGGCCCCAUGCUUGGGCAACCAGGCGUGGGGGGCACAGACCAGGGGGUGGCGACUGUUUACUAAAAACAUAGGGCUCUGCGAAGCCGUAAGGCGAUGUAUAGGGUCUGACGCCUGCCCGGUGCCGGAAGGUUAAGAGGAGGGGUGCAAGCUCCGAAUUGAAGCCCCGGUAAACGGCGGCCGUAACUAUAACGGUCCUAAGGUAGCGAAAUUCCUUGUCGGGUAAGUUCCGACCUGCACGAAUGGCGUAACGACUUCCCCGCUGUCUCCAACAUUGACUCAGCGAAAUUGAAUUCUCCGUGAAGAUGCGGAGUACCCGCGGUUAGACGGAAAGACCCCGUGCACCUUUACUAUAGCUUUGCAGUGGUAUCAGGAAUUGUAUGUGUAGGAUAGGUGGGAGGCUUUGAAGCGUGGGCGCCAGUUCACGUGGAGCUACCCUUGAAAUACCACCCUUAUGAUUUUUGCUAUCUAACCGCGGUCCGUUAUCCGGAUCCGGGACCCUGCAUGGCGGGUAGUUUGACUGGGGCGGUCGCCUCCCAAAGAGUAACGGAGGCGUGCAACGGUAGGCUCAGGUUGGUCGGAAAUCAACCAAUGAGUGCAAUGGCAUAAGCCUGCCUGACUGUGAGGCCGACGGGCCGAGCAGAGACGAAAGUCGGUCAUAGUGAUCCGGUGGUCCCGAGUGGAAGGGCCAUCGCUCAACGGAUAAAAGGUACGCCGGGGAUAACAGGCUGAUAAUGCCCAAGAGUUCAUAUCGACGGCAUUGUUUGGCACCUCGAUGUCGGCUCAUCACAUCCUGGGGCUGGAGCAGGUCCCAAGGGUUCGGCUGUUCGCCGAUUAAAGUGGUACGUGAGCUGGGUUUAGAACGUCGUGAGACAGUUCGGUCCCUAUCUGCCGUGGGUGUACGAGACUUGAGAGGAGCUGCCCCUAGUACGAGAGGACCGGGGUGGACGAACCUCUGGUGGACCGGUUGUCGCGCCAGCGGCACAGCCGGGUAGCUAUGUUCGGAAGGGAUAACCGCUGAAAGCAUCUAAGCGGGAAGCCCCCCUCGAAACCAGGUCUCGCCUGAGAGCCGUGGAAGACCACCACGUUGAUAGGCCGGAGGUGGAAGCACAGCAAUGUGUGCAGCUAACCGGUACUAAUUGCUCGAUUGGCUUGAUU